GACGAACGCUGGCGGCGUGCUUAACACAUGCAAGUCGAACGGAAAGGCCCUGCUUUUGUGGGGUGCUCGAGUGGCGAACGGGUGAGUAACACGUGAGUAACCUGCCCUUGACUUUGGGAUAACUUCAGGAAACUGGGGCUAAUACCGGAUAGGAGCUCCUGAUGCAUGGUGGGGGUUGGAAAGUUUCGGCGGUUGGGGAUGGACUCGCGGCUUACCAGCUUGUUGGUGGGGUAGUGGCUUACCAAGGCUUUGACGGCUAGCCGGCCUGAGAGGGUGACCGGCCACAUUGGGACUGAGAUACGGACCAGACUCCUAUGGGGGACAGCAGUGGGGAAUAUUGCACAAUGGGCGGAAGCCUGAUGCAGCAACGCCGCGUGCGGGAUGACGGCCUUCGGGUUGUAAACCGCUUUCGCCUGUGACGAAGCGUGAGUGACGGUAAUGGGUAAAGAAGCACCGGCUAACUACGUG
rnacentral:rRNA from 1 species